rnacentral:rRNA from 1 species
GAUGAACGCUGGCGGCGUGCCUAAUACAUGCAAGUCGAGCGAACGGACGAGAAGCUUGCUUCUCUGAUGUUAGCGGCGGACGGGUGAGUAACACGUGGAUAACCUACCUAUAAGACUGGGAUAACUUCGGGAAACCGGAGCUAAUACCGGAUAAUAUUUUGAACCGCAUGGUUCAAAAGUAAAAGACGGUCUUGCUGUCACUUAUAGAUGGAUCCGCGCUGCAUUAGCUAGUUGGUAAGGUAACGGCUUACCAAGGCAACGAUGCAUAGCCGACCUGAGAGGGUGAUCGGCCACACUGGAACUGAGACACGGUCCAGACUCCUACGGGAGGCAGCAGUAGGGAAUCUUCCCCAAUGGGCGAAAGCCUGACGGAGCAACGCCGCGUGAGUGAUGAAGGUCUUCGGAUCGUAAAACUCUGUUAUUAGGGAAGAACAUAUGUGUAAGUAACUGUGCACAUCUUGACGGUACCUAAUCAGAAAGCCACGGCUAACUACGUG